GAUGAACGCUGGCGGCGUGCCUAAUACAUGCAAGUCGAGCGAACGGACGAGAAGCUUGCUUCUCUGAUGUUAGCGGCGGACGGGUGAGUAACACGUGGAUAACCUACCUAUAAGACUGGGAUAACUUCGGGAAACCGGAGCUAAUACCGGAUAAUAUUUUGAACCGCAUGGUUCAAAAGUGAAAGACGGUCUUGCUGUCACUUAUAGAUGGAUCCGCGCUGCAUUAGCUAGUUGGUAAGGUAACGGCUUACCAAGGCAACGAUGCAUAGCCGACCUGAGAGGUGGACCGCCCAAACUGAACAGGAGAACCGUCCAAGCUCCUAAGGGGAGGCAGAGGGAGGGAAUUUGCGGAAAGGGGGAAAAGCCUGAGGGGGCAACCCCGGGGGGGGGAGGAAGUGUUUGGAAUGGAAAACCCUUGUUAUUGGGGAAAAAAAAAUGUGAAAGAAACGGUGCACUUUUGGACGGUACCAAAGCAGAAACCCACGGCAACCUACGG
rnacentral:rRNA from 1 species